UUGAUACGAUGUUUGUGGAGUAUAUUGCAGUAUAAUGGAAUGGAUCGAUGGCACAUGAGUCAUGCGUGUGGGCUCCUGGGGGCCUGGGGCAGAAGUGAAGGUAGGUGGACGGCGUGUUGGCGAACUGGAGGAUCUGCGCGUGUGCGUGUGAGUACUGUGGCAGGUGGCAUCGCUGGUUAAUUAUGGCUGCGUUCGAUGAAAAGCAGGUCUGCGCAUGUGAGGGAAAGAUAGAGAUAAAUAUUGGUAACUGAUCUAUUCUGAUUUAACUGCAUUCGGCUAAGAUAUUUGUAUGGGAUCAGCGUAGGGGGCGAAUAUUAUCCUAGUGUUUAGUUGUACCUAUAAAUAUUAGGGUAUUAUAUCAGUUUUAGAACAAUAACCAAUUAUCAAUUUACUAUUUUAUUAUUCUUUACUUUCCUGUUGUUUUAUAUUUCGUUUUCAUGGCUGUAGCAACCCUAAAAUUUGGUUAACUGUUUUGCGCUAAAAAACGGUCGUGCUGCUAAAAAACAAAAAGGUUAUCAUUCGCUAGUUUGACUAUUAAAGUUUUCCUAACUCAGCGGGAUGAAAAAAAUAUAAUAACUACAGGUGUUGGUUCUAAAGAAAAUAAGACACCAAUAUCCAUUGAUACCGACAACUAUAAUAUUUUAUAGGUGUUGGUUUCUAGAAAAGCCGGCACCAAAAUAAUCAAGCCGAGCCAGGAUUUUCUAGUCAUCCCUUUUUAGCACAAAGGGAGAGGGAGCCAGCAGUUCUUAUCCACUUGCUCCCACUGUCUCACCUACCCAUCCUCCCCUCCACCUCCUCUUCAGGCCCUCCCUUUCCUCCCCUCGUCUCCUCUCUCCCCCGCUGUGGGUGGUUCCGCCGUUGCGACCACGGCGACGGCGAUAGUGAAUGGGGCUCCUGUGGGUGGAUCCGACAGUGACGGCUUCUGCUAUGGGCAGAUCCAAUGAAGGUGGUGGCUCUCGUGGGCAGAUCUGGCAUCGGCGAUUCCGUCAAUUCUGAUGAUCCAGAUUAUUUUGAAGUGGUUACCGAGGUUCAGUCAGCUCAAGAGCAAGGCAAGUUAUACAUACAUCAUUGAUCAUAUCGAGCCUAUUUUAAAAAAUCCCUUGUUUUAUAUUAAAUUGCAUGGUUUUAGAAUGUCAUGUGGGAUGGAUGCCUAUUGUACUCAGCCUAUUGAUUAUCUUAUGCCAUUGAUAACUUGGAUUAUAUUUGACUAGAUGAUUGGUUUAGGAAUGCUUAGCCAUGCUUAGAUCAAUUAGCUCAUAAUAGGAUUCAUUAUAAUUUAGUCCUUCAUUAUAUUAUGAUGUACCACCAUGGUUAUGGUUUAAUUAAACUAAAAUAUGAUUUAAUGGUGGGUUAUGGGUACAUGCAUGAUUUGGAAGUCGUGCCCAUGACAACUAUAGAUGGUUCUUGUGAAUCCCUAGAAGAUAUACUUGUACUCACCACAGGCCAGAUGGGCUCCAGACUGAAUCUAAAGUAACUUAACCUAACUGACAUACCAUGGCAAAGGUAGAGGCGAUGGUGCAGUUCGGACCUAGCUUUGGUCUCUGCUAUAGCCGGAUUUAUCUAGGUACAAGAGGGGACUGUCCGACUUGGCACAGGAGGGGGUGAAACCUGAGGUGGGUAUGUUCGGUUAGGGAGAGUUAUAUGACGGGUUUUAUCAUGAUUUCCCCCUUUACAGUAUAUUGGUGAUACUUCGGGGCAUGGUAAAAUGUGUGGAAUUGUGUCUUGUGGGUAAAGUUGUACACCUCUAAUCAGAGUUAAAACUAUUCGAAUAGCCGUGCCCGCGGUUAUUAGGCGGUCAUCCAGCUCACCAUGAUUAGUCCCACUAUAAUGAUUUGACUUAUAGAAUUGGUGUAGUUCAGAUGGUUUUGGUUGGGCUUGUUGCAACGUGAAUUUAGCGUUGGACAGUGAUGAUUUAAUACAGCUUAAUUAUAUAUUGUUUCUACUAUUUCAAAUUAUGAUUUAUAAACGCUGCUUUUACUACAAACUAUCCUAUGGUUCCAUUCCUUUGUGAAUAUCCUUGCAUCGUACCUUUCCGUUGAUAUGACUUGUUGAGUACGGUGAUUGGUACUCAGUCUUGCUUUAUCCCCCCCUUCUCCCGUGGAAGCAAAAGAUUGGUUCAGAUGGUGAGUUCUUUUAGGAUUGAGCUUGUUCCGGACAUCGAGGAUUGCCUGUGGUUUAUGGAGGAAGCUUCGCUUUGGUCAUGAAGAUUAAGUUUAGUUCUUUUGUUUUUCCACUGCGUAUGAGUUUUAUUUUGUUAUUUUUGUAAGACGUGGAAUUGUAUCAAAUUAUCGUUUGUGUACUCUAGCUGGUCCUGGAUAGAGAUUUAAUACACAUUCUGCUUGAAAUUCGGGUUAGCGAAUUUCUGGGCGUGACAAGUCCACUGCAACAGAUGAGAGAUAAUUUUAAUAUGGUGUGGAUAAGGGGGUGUAAUUAAACUAGUUUCCUACUAAAUAUCAUGUUAUUUCUGAUAAGCCACAAAUUCUAACAGACAGCAGCAAGCAAACCAAUUUUAACUCUAAUACUCUUGAUGCCAACCCUAGUCUCUAUCAGCUUGAAAAAAAUCCAUAAAGCAAAGAGGAAUAAUGUUGUUCUUACUCAAAGCAUCUCUACAGAUACACCACACAAAAGCUACCAUAGGACAAUUAAAACAGAUGUGAUUAGAAGUUUCCAAUGGAUCAAAAGCUCGCAAAAUUCAGAGCUCUCCUAGCCUUUUUUCCUAAGUUAUUCAGCAGAUUAAAUUCUAUCCCUUUCAGAUAGCAGAUAAAAUGUUUAAUUUUCAUUGGACAGGAGCAUCACAUACUAGCUUCAUGUUAGCAUCAUUAAUACCUAUAGAAGUCAGAUCUCUGUAUAAGGAUUAAGAUGUGAAUAUCUUAUUCUUCUCCAGGCCCCAGAUCAGCUUAUCAGGGCCUUAAGAAGUGCAUGUUCUCUCUAUGGUUAACCUAAGUUCAUCCCAUUCGACUCUCUCAUUUGGUCCAAAAGUUCACCUGAAAGACGGAGCCCCACGAUCUUUUAUAGCAUGGCCCAUUUCAUAUGAAUUUCGAAGAAAGAGAUAAGAUUCAACAUUUGUUUCAAAGUCCAUUUUAUAUUUUUUUUUCUAUAUAAUAUCGAAAUCCUCACAACUUCAUAUAUUUUCCCUACAAAUCAAAUGUCCCCUUGUCAAAUUUUCGAGUAGCAUGUAAAACCAAGACAUACUGAACUACUGGCAGCCUGGAGGCUUGUCGAGCCUUGCAGCCAGUGGCGCUGGGACGACGCCAGCUACCAAAAUCCUGCUUGCAGCGUACGUACAUGGAGAUGCUUCCUGGCUCGAUCCGCGAGCGGUGGUGGUGCUCUCAGUUUUCCUGAUGCCGCCCAUUCGAAUCGAUCACUCCCAGUGAUUUCUCAAGCGAGGGGGCGCGUAUGUGUGAAAUGGGCUGAUUUCUUCACUGCCGCUCAUGUGUGCGUGGAAGUUCGGUCGAGCUUUGCGUAUCAAUUUUGGCAAAUUUUGCUACAUGACAUUAGCUUCA